rfam:Gossypium arboreum cultivar AKA8401 contig_288315_1, whole genome shotgun sequence.
GGGUGCGAUCAUAGCAGCACUAAUGCACCGGAUCCCAUCAAAACUCCGCAGCUAAGCGUGUUUGGGCGAGAGUACUACUAGGAUGGGUGACCUCCAAGGAAGUCCUCGUGUUGCACCCC